GUGUCCCCUUCAUUAACACGUAUAGUAAAUUGGGCCAAUACAGAGAAGAUCAGAAUGUUGUUUGCCACAGGGUGACAUGGAAAUUCUCGAAGUGCUCCAGAUUUGU